UUUUACGAGGUCAGGACACUGUGAGGAUUGACAGAUUGAAAGCUCUUUCUUGAUUCAGUGGGUGGUGGUCAUGGCCGUUUAGUUGGUGGAGUGAUUUGUCUGGUUAUCCGUUAACGAACGAGCUUAACCUGCUAAAUAGUCACGCGAACCGGUCCGCAAGGGCUCAAAGUUCGCGGCUCGACUUCUUAGAGGGACUAUUGCCCCCCAGCGAAUGGAAGUUUGAGGCAAUAACAGGUCUGUGAUGCCCUUAGAUGUUUUCCGGCGCACGCGCGUUACACUGACGGAGUCAACGAGCGUUUUUCCCUUGCCCGAUAGGGUUGGGGUAACCUCCUGAAAUCCGUCGUGAUGGGAUAGAUCAUUGCAAUUAUUGAUCUUGAACGAGGAAUUCCUAGGAGGCGCGAGUCAUCAACUCGCGCCGAUUACGCCCUGCCCUUUACAC
rnacentral:rRNA from 1 species